rnacentral:tmRNA from 1 species
GGGGCCGUCAUGGUUUUGACGGAGAGUAGAAAAUUAGCAGUUGCAGUGGAGUGACGAUCCAUAACGUCAAAAAAACAAUAACUGACAAUAGUUAUAUUUUUGGGAAUCGCGCUUUAAACCGCGCUUCCUGCGCUUGCGCUUAAUUUAGCACCGACAUAGGUUCCUCGAUCUGAGGACAAGCACGCUCCCUGCGGUUUACUCGUCUCACGCACAGGUGUAGUGUCAUACCAAGGCGAUAAGCUUCUUUCAUUGGCUAGGGAAAGAGGAUGAAAAUUUAUAGCCUAUCUAGCGAAACUUACGGCAUCUUAGCCGCUAGUGAUAUUCGAUGCCGUCUAAACUGUAGACGCUGCUAAGGGUCAUUCUUCGGACCGGAGUUCGAUUCUCCGCGACUCCACCA